UUUCCUAUGGUGCAAGGGUAACAUGUCUGAUUCUGGUUCAGAAGAUAGUGGUUCGAAUCCAUUUAGGAAAA
rfam:Mucilaginibacter mallensis strain MP1X4 genome assembly, chromosome: I